rnacentral:rRNA from 1 species
AGUGGACGCUGGCGGCGUGGUUAAGACAUGCAAGUCGAGCGGAGAACAAAAGGCGUAGCAAUACGUGGAUGAGAAAGCGGCGAACGGGUGCGUAACACGUAAGCAACCUGCCCUAAAGGACUGGGAUAGCUCGGGGAAACUCGAAUUAAUACUAGGAUGUGGUCGCUUUUCCGCAUGGGAGAGACAACUAAAGCUUGAGACGGCACUUUAGGAGGGGCUUGCGGCCUAUCAGCUUGUUGGUGAGGUAACGGCUCACCAAGGCAAAGACGGGUAGCGGGUCUGAG